rnacentral:rRNA from 1 species
GGGGGGGGGGGGGGGGGGGGGUGGGGGGGGGGGGGGGGGGGGGGGGGGGGGGGGCGGGGUCGGCUGGCGUGAGGGGGGGGGGGGUGGGUGCCCCGGGGGUGCGCUCCCUGUCCGACUGUGAGAACUUCGGGACCCCGGAGCUCGUACCGGCUCAUAUAUUGGACCGGCUUGUUCAAUCUUGCAAGGCGGUUUUGCUUUCCCUUCUCGGUUGCUCCGCGCCGCAUUAUGUAGUUGGUAAGGUAACCGCUUACCAAGGCAACGACGCGUAGCCGACCUGAGAGGGUGAUCGGCCACACUGGAACUGAGACACGGUCCAGACUCCUACGGGAUGCAGCAGUAGGGAAUCUUCCGCAAUGGGCGAAAGCCUGACGGAGCAACGACGCGUGAGUGAUGAAGGUCUUCGGAUCGUAAAACUCUGUUAUUAGGGAAGAACAAAUGUGUAAGUAACUAUGCACGUCUUGACGGUACCUAAUCAGAAAGCCACGGCUAACUACGUG